GACGAACGCUGGCGGCGUGCUUAACACAUGCAAGUCGAACGGAAAGGCCCUGCUUUUGUGGGGUGCUCGAGUGGCGAACGGGUGCGUAACACGUGAGUAACCUGCCCUUGACUUUGGGAUAACUUCAGGAAACUGGGGCUACUACCGGAUAGGAGCUCCUGCUGCAUGGUGGGGGUUGGAACGUUUCGGCGGUUGGGGAUGGACUCGCGGCUUAUCAGCUUGUUGGUGGGGUAGUGGCUUACCAAGGCUUUGAAGGGUAGCCGGCCUGAGAGGGUGACCGGCCACAAUGGUACUGAGAUACGGCCCAGAGUCCUACGGGAGGCAGCAGGGGGGAAUAUUGCACAAUGGGCGGAAGCCGGAGGCAGCAACGCCGCGGGCGGGAUGACGGCCUUCGGGUUGUAAACCGCUUUCGCCUGUGACGAAGCGUGAGUGACGGUAAUGGGUAAAGAAGCACCGGCUAACUACGUG
rnacentral:rRNA from 1 species